GAUGAAGAACGUAGCGAAAUGCGAUAACUAAUGUGAAUUGCAGAAUUCAGUGAAUCAUCGAGUCUUUGAACGCACAUUGCGCCCCCUGGUAUUCCGGGGGGCAUGCCUGUCCGAGCGUCAUUGCUGCCCUCAAGCACGGCUUGUGUGUUGGGCUCCGUCCCCCCGGGGACGGGCCCGAAAGGCAGCGGCGGCACCGAGUCCGGUCCUCGAGCGUAUGGGGCUUUGUCACCCGCUCUGUAGGCCCGGCCGGCGCCAGCCGACAACCCGUCAUCCUUUUCAGGUUGACCUCGGAUCAGGUAGGGAUACCCGCUGAACUUAAGCAUAUCAAUAAGCGGAGGA
rnacentral:misc_RNA from 1 species